GAAGGGGGCUAGCGUUGUUCGGAAUUACUGGGCGUAAAGCGCGCGCAGGUGGUCCUUCAAGUCAGGGGUGAAAGCCCAGAGCUCAACUCUGGAAUGGCCUUUGAGACUAGAGGACUUGGGUACGGGAGAGGUGAGUGGAAUUCCGAGUGUAGAGGUGAAAUUCGUAGAUAUUCGGAAGAACACCAGUGGCGAAGGCGGCUCACUGGCCCGUUACCGACACUCAGGCGCGACAGCGUGGGGAGCAAACAGGAUUAGAUACCCUGGUAGUCCACGCCGUAAACUAUGGAUGCUAGCCGUUGGCAAGCAUGCUUGUCAGUGGCGCAGCUAACGCAUUAAGCAUCCCGCCUGGGGAGUACGGCCGCAAGGUUG
rnacentral:rRNA from 1 species